rnacentral:tRNA from 1 species
AUCUUUUUUUUUCUGUUUCCCUCUCUUUAUCGUUAUCCCGGUUUAACCUGUCACUCCUUAUUUCCUAGCGAUC